rnacentral:rRNA from 1 species
ACAAGCGGAGGAGCAUGUGGUUUAAUUCGAUGAUACGCGAGGAACCUUAACCUGGGCGUCGAACGUAAGAUGACUGUAGGUGAAAGCUUACAUCUCUUCGGAGCAUUUUACGAGGUGCUGCAUGGUUGUCGUCAGCUCGUGCCGUGAGGUGUCGGGUUAAGUCCCAUAACGAGCGCAACCCUACCUUUAGUUGCCAUCAGGUAAUGCUGGGGACUCUAAAGGAACUGCCUACGCAAGUAGUGAGGAAGGCGGGGAUGACGUCAAAUCAGCACGGCCCUUACGUCCAGGGCUACACACGUGCUACAAUGGCCGAUACAGAGGGCAGCUACCUGGUGACAGGAUGCAAAUCUCCAAAGUCGGUCUCAGUUCGGAUCGGAGUCUGCAACCCGACUCCGUGAAGUUGGAUUCGCUAGUAAUCGCGCAUCAGCCAUGGCGCGGUGAAUACGUUCCCGGGCCUU